rnacentral:rRNA from 1 species
GACGAACGCUGGCGGCGUGCUUAACACAUGCAAGUCGAACGGAAAGGCCCUGCUUGCAGGGUACUCGAGUGGCGAACGGGUGAGUAACACGUGGGUGAUCUGCCCUGCACUUCGGGAUAAGCCUGGGAAACUGGGUCUAAUACCGGAUAGGAGCCAUUUUUAGUGUGAUGGUUGGAAAGUUUUUUCGGUGUUGGAUGUGCUCGCGGCCUAUCAGCUUGUUGGUGGGGUAAUGGCCUACCAAGGCGGCGACGGGUAGCCGGCCUGAGAGGGUGGACGGCCACAUUGGGACUGAGAGACGGCCCAGACACCGACGGGAGGGAGAAGGGGGGAAUAUUGCACAAUGGGCGCAAGCCUGAUGCAGCGACGCCGCGGGGGGGAUGACGGCCUUCGGGUUGUAAACUCAUUUCGCUAGGGACGAAGCUUUUUGUGACGGUACCUAGAGAAGAAGCACCGGCUAACUACGUG